AUUGGUCUACCAGAGAGGGCACAUGUGCCUCAAUUGGCCUAUAGCAUAGUGGCUCAUUAUCCUUCAACCGCUGGUGGCGGGCGGUACUCGCUGCUCUGUGAAGCCAGCCUCACGCAAUGUCCGCCACUUUAGGUGUUGGGAUGCAAAGGCUUUCGCCAAGGCAUCCGAAACCCACUACACAACUUGGAAUGGGUGGUCCACAGUUUGUAGCACUAGACCCAGGCACAUGCACCACAAUUGACAUUCACACUACCUUAUUGCCCCCGCUCGGGUUACAAGCAAUCGCUACUUGCUCAGCGAGUGAGGGGGGUUCAAGACUACCUAUUUAAGGUGGUGUUGUACUGUAUGAGCCGGCGGUGUGGUAUUUACCAACUACAAAUAGUGUCAUGCAUGUGACUUGCUAGUUGACAAUGUCUGUUGUGGAGCUAGAUGUGGGCUAUGGAUGAAGCACAUUAGGAUAUAGUAGGCCUAUUUUGUUUUUUGUUAUUUUUGGGCCACUAUGGACUUUAUGUUGAUGUUGUGAAUUUUUUUCUUGUGUUUCCUCUUCCUACGAUGUGGAAAGUGGGUGCGUCAGAGAAGAAAGAAAGAGUGGCUAGCAUUGAUUUUACGUCAUACCAUUGAGAACACUAAUCAGAAGCAGAAGCAACAAUAUUUCAUACAUAUACAACACUUGUAAUCCAUAUAAACAACUUUCCUUUCAAAUAUAAUAUAAACCACAUGAUUUAUAUCCUGGGUCGGCUAUCUCCACAAAGGGCAAGAAAACGCUCCAAGUUUGUAGUAUAGAACUAAAAGUGUCGACUCUCACGAUUUCUUCCCGACAUAUGCAAACUAGACAGUAAUCACAUAAAAUAAAGAAAUAUGUGUUAACACAAACUUAUAACAUGUAUUUCAACAUAUAGAUUUUUGAUUAUUAUGGUAGAUUAUAUAAUAUAGGGGUUCCCGAAGAAAUACAUAAAAAACAAGAGCAUUAAAAUUUCCUUUUCAGAUCUGGCUAACUGGUAAAGGGAGUUGGAGUAUCUGUGUUUCCAAAUUUGGGACGUCGCUCUAUAGAAGGAAUAUAAAUACAUUGGAAAAAAAUUCUACAAGGAAAGGUUUAAUACAAGUAGGGCUAAGAAAAACUCAAUGAGGCUUUGGUCGCAUGGUCACAAAACUUGAGACAAGAAACACGAAGACACCAAGGUAAUUAGUAUGAGAGUUUUCCAAAUUUGGUGUCUUGAUGUAGAAAAAAUAAAUAUAUGACAAACUUGUUUUUUCGCAAGGCAUGGAUAAAUAAGUGGGGGUGAGCAAUAAAUUUCAUCCUAGAUUUAGAAGGAAUAAAUAUAUCACUAAAUACGUUUUUUCAUAAUGCCAAGUUAAUCAGGUGGGAGCGAGAAACAAUUCUAGCGAGGCUAGGUUGUACUAGCCCAAAACUACAUACAACAGAGGAAAAAUGAAGAAAAUGAUGGUCUACCAAAUAUGGCGCAUGAGCCUUAAGGUGCACCUAGAGGGAAGUAGAAGAAAUAAAUAUAUAAUAGCAUAUGUUUUUCUCAAUGCAAGGUAAAGUGUAGAUGUGCUCUAACUGGGCUUAGAUUGCAGCGACACAUUAUGCAUCUACAAGGCUUGGUUGCACAUGGAAAAAGAUAGAGAGAGAAAUGUAGACACAGGACGGGGAGAAAAACAUUCAAUGAGACAUGAUUGCACGGACAUAGAACUAGAUAUAAGACAAGAGUUAAAGAAAAAUAAAGGAACUAAAUUUUCUUCUGCACACUCAGCAUGAAUGGAGUUGUAGUAUCUGAGAUCAAAAUUUAAUUUAUUCCAAGAUGCAGAACAAAAACGUGAUACUCGUAAUGGUUACAUAGGAACAAAAGUAGAUAAGAAAAAUAGCAAAAAGAUAGUGGUCUACCAGAGAGGGCACAUGUGCCUCAAUUGGCCUAUAGCAUAGCGACUCAUUAUCCUUCCACCGCUGGUGGCGGGCGGUACUCGCUGCUCUGUGAAGCCAGCCUCACGCAAUGUCCGCCACUUUAGGUGUUGGGAUGCAAAGGCUUUCGCCAAGGCAUCCGAAACCCACUACACAACUUGGAAUGGGUGGUCCACAGUUUGUAGCACUAGACCCAGGCACAUGCACCACAAUUGACAUCCACACUACCUUAUUGCCCCCGCUCGGGUUACAAGCAAUCGCUACUUGCUCAGCGAGUGAGGGGGUUCAAGACUACCUAUUUAAGGUGGUGUUGUACUCUAUAAGCCGGCGGUGUGGUAUUUACCAACUACAAAUAGUGUCAUGCAUGUGACUUGCUAGUUGACAAUGUCUGUUGUCGAGCUAGAUGUGGGCUACGGAUGAAGCACAUUAUGAUAUAGUAGGCCUAUUUUGUUUUUUGUUGUUUUUGGGCCACUAUGGACUUUAUGUUGAUGUUGUGAAAUUUUUUCUUGUGUUUCCUCUUCCUACGAUGUGGAAAGUGGGUGUGUUAGAGAAGAAAGAAAGAGUGGCUAGCAUUGAUUUUACGUCAUACCAUUGAGAACACUAAUCAGAAGCAGAAGCAACAAUAUUUCAUACAUAUACAACACUUGUAAUCCAUAUAAACAACUUUCCUUUAAAAUAUAAUAUAAACCACAUGAUUUAUAUCCUGGGUCGGCUAUCUCCACAAAGGGCAAGAAAACGCUCCAAGUUUGUAGUAUAGAACUAAAAGUGUCGAUUCUCACGAUUUCUUCCCGACAUAUACAAACUAGACAGUAAUCACAUAAAAUAAAGAAAUAUGUGUUAACACAAACUUAUAGCAUGUAUUUCAACAUAUAGAUUGUUGAUUAUUAUGGUAGAUUAUAUAAAAUAGAGGUUCCCGAAGAAAUACAUAAAAACAAGAGCAUUAAAAUUUCCAUUUCAGAUCUGGCUAUCUGGUAAAAGGAGUUGGAGUAACUGAGUUUCCAAAUUUGUGACGUAGCUCUAUAGAAGGAAUAUAAAUACGUUGGAAAAAUUCUACAAGGAAAGGUUUAAUACAAGUAGGGCUAAGAAAAACUCAAUGAGGCUUUGGUCGCAUGGUCACAAAACUUGAGACAAGAAACACGAAGACACCAAGGUAAUUAGUAUGAGAGUUUUCCAAAUUUGGUGUCUUGAUGUAGAAAAAAUAAAUAUAUGACAAACUUGUUUUUUCGCAAGGCAUGGAUAAAUAAGUGGGGGCGAGCAAUAAAUUUCAUCCUAGAUUUAGAAGGAAUAAAUAUAUCACUAAAUACGUUUUUUCAUAAUGCCAAGUUCAUCAGGUGGGAGCGAGAAACAAUUCUAGCGAGGUUAGGUUGUACUAGCCCAAAACUACAUACAACAGAGGAAAAAUGAAGAAAAUGAUGGUCUACCAAAUAUGGCGCAUGGGCCUUAAGGUGCACCUAGAGGGAAGUAUAAGAAAUAAAUAUAUAAUAGCCUAUGUUUUUCGCAAUGCAAGGUAAAGUGUAGAUGUGCUCUAACUGGGCUUAGAUUGCAGCGACACAUUAUGCAUCUACAAGGCUUGGUUGCACAUGGAAAAAGAUAGAGAGAGAAAUGUAGACACAGGACGGGGAGAAAAACAUUCAAUGAGACAUGAUUGCACGGACAUAGAACUAGAUAUAAGACAAGAGUUAAAGAAAAAUAAAGGAACUAAAUUUUCUUCUGCACACUCAGCAUGAAUGGAGUUGUAGUAUCUGAGAUCAAAAUUUAAUUUAUUCCAAGAUGCAGAACAAAAACGUGAUACUCGUAAUGGUUACAUAGGAACAAAAGUAGAUAAGAAAAAUAGCAAAAAGAUAGUGGUCUACCAGAGAGGGCACAUGUGCCUCAAUUGGCCUAUAGCAUAGCGACUCAUUAUCCUUCCACCGCUGGUGGCAGGCGGUACUCGCUGCUCUGUGAAGCCAGCCUCACGCAAUGUCCGCCACUUUAGGUGUUGGGAUGCAAAGGCUUUCGCCAAGGCAUCCGAAACCCACUACGCAACUUGGAAUGGGUGGUCCACAGUUUGUAGCACUAGACCCAGGCACAUGCACCACAAUUGACAUCCACACUACCUUAUUGCCCCCGCUCGGGUUACAAGCAAUCGCUACUUGCUCAGCGAGUGAGGGGGUUCAAGACUACCUAUUUAAGGUGGUGUUGUACUCUAUAAGCCGGCGGUGUGGUAUUUACCAACUACAAAUAGUGUCAUGCAUGUGACUUGCUAGUUGACAAUGUCUGUUGUCGAGCUAGAUGUGGGCUAUGGAUGAAACACAUUACGAUAUAGUAGGCCUAUUUUGUUUUUUGUUGUUUUUGGGCCACUAUGGACUUUAUGUUGAUGUUGUGAAAUUUUUUCUUGUGUUUCCUCUUCCUAUGAUGUGGAAAGUGGGUGGGUUAGAGAAGAAAGAAAGAGUGGCUAGCAUUGAUUUUACGUCAUACAAUUGAGAACACUAAUCAGAAGCAGAAGCAACAAUAUUUCAUACAUAUACAACACUUGUAAUCCAUAUAAACAACUUUCCUUUAAAAUAUAAUAUAAACCACAUGAUUUAUAUCCUGGGUCGGCUAUCUCCACAAAGGGCAAGAAAACGCUCCAAGUUUGUAGUAUAGAACUAAAAGUGUCGAUUCUCACGAUUUCUUCCCGACAUAUACAAACUAGACAGUAAUCACAUAAAAUAAAGAAAUAUGUGUUAACACGAACUUAUAGCAUGUAUUUCAACAUAUAGAUUGCUGAUUAUUAUGGUUGAUUAUAUAAAAUAGGGGUUCCCGAAGAAAUACAUAAAAACAAGAGCAUUAAAAUUUCCUUUUCAGAUCUGGCUAUCUGGUAAAAGGAGUUGGAGUAACUGAGUUUCCAAAUUUGUGACGUAGCUCUAUAGAAGGAAUAUAAAUACGUUGGAAAAAUUCUACAAGGAAAGGUUUAAUACAAGUAGGGCUAAGAAAAACUCAAUGAGGCUUUGGUCGCAUGGUCACAAAACUUGAGACAAGAAACACGAAGACACCAAGGUAAUUAGUAUGAGAGUUUUCCAAAUUUGGUGUCUUGAUGUAGAAAAAAUAAAUAUAUGACAAACUUGUUUUUUCGCAAGGCAUGGAUAAAUAAGUGGGGGUGAGCAAUAAAUUUCAUCCUAGAUUUAGAAGGAAUAAAUAUAUCACUAAAUACGUUUUUUACAAUGCCAAGUUAAUUAGGUGGGAGCGAGAAACAAUUCUAGCGAGGCUAGGUUGUACUAGCCCAAAACUACAUACAACAGAGGAAGAAUGAAGAAAAUGAUGGUCUACCAAAUAUGGCACAUGAGCCUUAAGGUGCACCUAGAGGGAAGUAGAAGAAUAAAUAUAUAAUAGCAUAUGUUUUUCGCAAUGCAAGGUAAAGUGUAGAUGUGCUCUAACUGGGCUUAGAUUGCAGCGACACAUUAUGCAUCUACAAGGCUUCGUUGCACAUGGAAAAAGAUAGAGAGAGAAAUGUAGACGCAGGACCGGGAGAAAAACAUUCAAUGAGACGUGAUUGCACGGACAUAGAACUAAGUAUAAGACAAGAGUUAAAGAAAAAAGGAACUAAAUUUUCUUGUGCACACUAAGCAUGAAUGGAGUUGUAGUAUCUGAGAUCAAAAUUUAAUUUAUUCCAAGAUGCAGAACAAAAACGUGAUACUCGUAAUGGUUACAUAGGAACAAAAGUAGAUAAGAAAAAUAGCAAAAAGAUAUUGGUCUACCAGAGAGGGCACAUGUGCCUCAAUUGGCCUAUAGCAUAGUGGCUCAUUAUCCUUCCACCGCUGGUGGCGGGCGGUACUCGCUGCUCUGUGAAGCCAGCCUCACGCAAUGUCCGCCACUUUAGGUGUUGGGAUGCAAAGGCUUUCGCCAAGGCAUCCGAAACCCACUACACAACUUGGAAUGGGUGGUCCACAGUUUGUAGCAAUAGACCCAGGCACAUGCACCACAAUUGACAUUCACACUACCUUAUUGCCCCCGCUCGGGUUACAAGCAAUCGCUACUUGCUCAGCGAGUGAGGGGGUUCAAGACUACCUAUUUAAGGUGGUGUUGUACUGUAUGAGCCGGCGGUGUGGUAUUUACCAACUACAAAUAGUGUCAUGCAUGUGACUUGCUAGUUGACAAUGUCUAUUGUCGAGCUAGAUGUGGGCUAUAGAUGAAGCACAUUAGGAUAUAGUAGGCCUAUUUUGUUUUUUGUUGUUUUUGGGCCACUAUGGACUUUAUGUUGAUGUUGUGAAAUUUUUUCUUGUGUUUCCUCUUCCUACGAUGUGGAAAGUGGGUGCUUCAGAGAAGAAAGAAAGAGUGGCUAGCAUUGAUUUUACGUCAUACCAUUGAGAACACUAAUCAGAAGCAGAAGCAACAAUAUUUCAUACAUAUACAACACUUGUAAUCCAUAUAAACAACUUUCCUUUCAAAUAUAAUAUAAACCACAUGAUUUAUAUCCUGGGUCGGCUAUCUCCACAAAGGGCAAGAAAACGCUCCAAGUUUGUAGUAUAGCACUAAAAGUGUCGACUCUCACGAUUUCUUCCCGACAUAUGCAAACUAGACAGUAAUCACAUAAAAUAAAGAAAUAUGUGUUAACACAAACUUAUAGCAUGUAUUUCAACAUAUAGAUUUUUGAUUAUUAUGGUAGAUUAUAUAAUAUAGGGGUUCCCGAAAAAAUACAUAAAAAACAAGAGCAUUAAAAUUUCCUUUUCAGAUCUGGCUAACUGGUAAAGGGAGUUGGAGUAUCUGAGUUUCCAAAUUUGGGACGUCGCUCUAUAGAAGGAAUAUAAAUACAUUGGAAAAAAUUCUACAAGGAAAGGUUUAAUACAAGUAGCGCUAAGAAAAACUCAAUGAGGCUUUGGUCGCUUGGUCACAAAACUUGAGACAAGAAACACGAAGACACCAAGGUAAUUAGUAUGAGAGUUUUCCAAAUUUGGUGUCUUGAUGUAGAAAAAAUAAAUAUAUGACAAACUUGUUUUUUCGCAAGGCAUGGAUAAAUAAGUGGGGGUGAGCAAUAAAUUUCAUCCUAGAUUUAGAAGGAAUAAAUAUAUCACUAAAUACGUUUUUUCACAAUGCCAAGUUAAUCAGGUGGGAGCGAGAAACAAUUCUAGCGAGGCUAGGUUGUACUAGCCCAAAACUACAUACAACAGAGGAAAAAUAAAGAAAAUGAUGGUCUACCAAAUAGGGCGCAUGAGCCUUAAGGUGCACCUAGAGGGAAGUAGAAGAAAUAAAUAUAUAAUAGCAUAUGUUUUUCGCAAUGCAAGGUAAAGUGUAGAUGUGCUCUAACUGGGCUUAGAUUGCAGCGACACAUUAUGCAUCUACAAGGCUUGGUUGCACAUGGAAAAAGAUAGAGAGAGAAAUGUAGACGCAGGACCGGGAGAAAAACAUUCAAUGAGACGUGAUUGCACGGACAUAGAACUAGAUAUAAGACAAGAGUUAAAGAAAAAUAAAGGAACUAAAUUUUCUUCUGCACACUAAGCAUGAAUGGAGUUGUAGUAUCUGAGAUCAAAAUUUAAUUUAUUCCAAGAUGCAGAACAAAAACGUGAUACUCGUAAUGGUUACAUAGGAACAAAAGUAGAUAAGAAAAAUAGCAAAAAGAUAGUGGUCUACCAGAGAGGGCACAUGUGCCUCAAUUGGCCUAUAGCAUAGCGACUCAUUAUCCUUCCACCGCUGGUGGCGGGCGGUACUCGCUGCUCUGUGAAGCCAGCCUCACGCAAUGUCCGCCACUUUAGGUGUUGGGAUGCAAAGGCUUUCGCCAAGGCAUCCGAAACCCACUACACAACUUGGAAUGGGUGGUCCACAGUUUGUAGCACUAGACCCAGGCACAUGCACCACAAUUGACAUCCACACUACCUUAUUGCCCCCGCUCGGGUUACAAGCAAUCGCUACUUGCUCAGCGAGUGAGGGGGUUCAAGACUACCUAUUUAAGGUGGUGUUGUACUCUAUGAGCCGGCGGUGUGGUAUUUACCAACUACAAAUAGUGUCAUGCAUGUGACUUGCUAGUUGACAAUGUCUGUUGUCAAGCUAGGUGUGGGCUAUGGAUGAAGCACAUUAGGAUAUAGUAGGCCUAUUUUGUUUUUUGUUGUUUUUGGGCCACUAUGGACUGUAUGUUGAUGUUGUGAAAUUUUUUUCUUGUGUUUCCUCUUCCUACGAUGUGGAAAGUGGGUGCGUCAGAGAAGAAAGAAAGAGUGGCUAGCAUUGAUUUUACGUCAUACCAUUGAGAACACUAAUCAGAAGCAGAAGCAACAAUAUUUCAUACAUAUACAACACUUGUAAUCCAUAUAAACAACAUUCCUUUAAAAUAUAAUAUAAACCACAUGAUUUAUAUCCUGGGUCGGCUAUCUCCACAAAGGGCAAGAAAACGCUCCAAGUUUGUAGUAUAGCACUAAAAGUGUCGAUUCUCACGAUUUCUUCCCGACAUAUACAAACUAGACAGUAAUCACAUAAAAUAAAGAAAUAUGUGUUAACACGAACUUAUAACAUGUAUUUCAACAUAUAGAUUGUUGAUUAUUAUGGUAGAUUAUAUAAAAUAGGGGUUCCCGAAGAAAUACAUAAAAACAAGAGCAUUAAAAUUUCCUUUUCAGAUCUGGCUAUCUGGUAAAAGGAGUUGGAGUAACUGAGUUUCCAAAUUUGUGACGUAGCUCUAUAGAAGGAAUAUAAAUACGUUGGAAAAAUUCUAUAAGGAAAGGUUUAAUACAAGUAGGGCUAAGAAAAACUCAAUGAGGCUUUGGUCGCAUGGUCACAAAACUUGAGACAAGAAACACGAAGACACCAAGGUAAUUAGUAUGAGAGUUUUCCAAAUUUGGUGUCUUGAUGUAGAAAAAAUAAAUAUAUGACAAACUUGUUUUUUCGCAAGGCAUGGAUAAAUAAGUGGGGGUGAGCAAUAAAUUUCAUCCUAGAUUUAGAAGGAAUAAAUAUAUCACUAAAUAUGUUUUUUCACAAUGCCAAGUUAAUCAGGUGGGAGCGAGAAACAAUUCUAGCGAGGCUAGGUUGUACUAGCCCAAAACUACAUACAACAGAGGAAAAAUGAAGAAAAUGAUGGUCUACCAAAUAUGGCGCAUGAGCCUUAAGGUGCACCUAGAGGGAAGUAGAAGAAAUAAAUAUAUAAUAGCAUAUGUUUUUCGCAAUGCAAGGUAAAGUGUAGAUGUGCUCUAACUGGGCUUAGAUUGCAGCGACACAUUAUGCAUCUACAAGGCUUGGUUGCACAUGGAAAAAGAUAGAGAGAGAAAUGUAGACGCAGGACCGGGAGAAAAACAUUCAACGAGACGUGAUUGCACGGACAUAGAACUAGAUAUAAGACAAGAGUUAAAGAAAAAUAAAGGAACUAAAUUUUCUUCUGCACACUAAGCAUGAAUGGAGUUGUAGUAUCUGAGAUCAAAAUUUAAUUUAUUCCAAGAUGCAGAACAAAAACGUGAUACUCGUAAUGGUUACAUAGGAACAUAAGUAGAUAAGAAAAAUAGCAAAAAGAUAGUGGUCUACCAGAGAGGGCACAUGUGCCUCAAUUGGCCUAUAGCAUAGCGACUCAUUAUCCUUCCACCGCUGGUGGCGGGCGGUACUCGCUGCUCUGUGAAGCCAGCCUCACGCAAUGUCUGCCACUUUAGGUGUUGGGAUGCAAAGGCUUUCGCCAAGGCAUCCGAAACCCACUACACAACUUGGAAUGGGUGGUCCACAGUUGGUAGCACUAGACCCAGGCACAUGCACCACAAUUGACAUCCACACUACCUUAUUGCCCCCGCUCGGGUUACAAGCAAUCGCUACUUGCUCAGCGAGUGAGGGGGUUCAAGACUACCUAUUUAAGGUGGUGUUGUACUCUAUGAGCCGGUGGUGUGGUAUUUACCAACUACAAAUAGUGUCAUGCAUGUGACUUGCUAGUUGACAAUGUCUGUUGUCAAGCUAGGUGUGGGCUAUGGAUGAAGCACAUUAGGAUAUAGUAGGCCUAUUUUGUUUUUUGUUGUUUUUGGGCCACUAUGGACUUUAUGUUGAUGUUGUGAAUUUUUUUUCUUGUGUUUCCUCUUCCUACAAUGUGGAAAGUGGGUGCGUCAGAGAAGAAAGAAAGAGUGGCUAGCAUUGAUUUUACGUCAUACCAUUGAGAACACUAAUCAGAAGCAGAAGCAACAAUAUUUCAUACAUAUACAACACUUGUAAUCCAUAUAAACAACAUUCCUUUAAAAUAUAAUAUAAACCACAUGAUUUAUAUCCUGGGUCGGCUAUCUCCACAAAGGGCAAGAAAACGCUCCAAGUUUGUAGUAUAGCACUAAAAGUGUCGAUUCUCACGAUUUCUUCCCGACAUAUACAAACUAGACAGUAAUCACAUAAAAUAAAGAAAUAUGUGUUAACACGAACUUAUAGCAUGUAUUUCAACAUAUAGAUUGUUGAUUAUUAUGGUAGAUUAUAUAAAAUAGGGGUUCCCGAAGAAAUACAUAAAAACAAGAGCAUUAAAAUUUCCUUUUCAGAUCUGGCUAUCUGGUAAAAGGAGUUGGAGUAACUGAGUUUCCAAAUUUGUGACGUAGCUCUAUAGAAGGAAUAUAAAUACGUUGGAAAAAUUCUAUAAGGAAAGGUUUAAUACAAGUAGGGCUAAGAAAAACUCAAUGAGGCUUUGGUCGCAUGGUCACAAAACUUGAGACAAGAAACACGAAGACACCAAGGUAAUUAGUAUGAGAGUUUUCCAAAUUUGGUGUCUUGAUGUAGAAAAAAUAAAUAUAUGACAAACUUGUUUUUCGCAAGGCAUGGAUAAAUAAGUGGGGGUGAGCAAUAAAUUUCAUCCUAGAUUUAGAAGGAAUAAAUAUAUCACUUAAUAUGUUUUUUCACAAUGCCAAGUUAAUCAGGUGGGAGCGAGAAACAAUUCUAGCGAGGCUAGGUUGUACUAGCCCAAAACUACAUACAACAGAGGAAAAAUGAAGAAAAUGAUGGUCUACCAAAUAUGGUGCAUGAGCCUUAAGGUGCACCUAGAGGGAAGUAGAAGAAAUAAAUAUAUAAUAGCAUAUGUUUUUCGCAAUGCAAGGUAAAGUGUAGAUGUGCUCUAACUGGGCUUAGAUUGCAGCGACACAUUAUGCAUCUACAAGGCUUGGUUGCACAUGGAAAAAGAUAGAGAGAGAAAUGUAGACGCAAGACCGGGAGAAAAACAUUCAAUGAGACGUGAUUGCACGGACAUAGAACUAGAUAAAAGACAAGAGUUAAAGAAAAAUAAAGGAACUAAAUUUUCUUCUGCACACUAAGCAUGAAUGGAGUUGUAGUAUCUGAGAUCAAAAUUUAAUUUAUUCCAAGAUGCAGAACAAAAACGUGAUACUCGUAAUGGUUACAUAGGAACAUAAGUAGAUAAGAAAAAUAGCAAAAAGAUAGUGGUCUACCAGAGAGGGCACAUGUGCCUCAAUUGGCCUAUAGCAUAGCGACUCAUUAUCCUUCCACCGCUGGUGGCGGGCGGUACUCGCUGCUCUGUGAAGCCAGCCUCACGCAAUGUCCGCCACUUUAGGUGUUGGGAUGCAAAGGCUUUUGCCAAGGCAUCCGAAACCCACUACACAACUUGGAAUGGGUGGUCCACAGUUUGUAGCACUAGACCCAGGCACAUGCACCACAAUUGACAUCCACACUACCUUAUUGCCCCCGCUCGGGUUACAAGCAAUCGCUACUUGCUCAACGAGUGAGGGGGUUCAAGACUACCUAUUUAAGGUGGUGUUGUACUCUAUGAGCCGGCGGUGUGGUAUUUACCAACUACAAAUAGUGUCAUGCAUGUGACUUGCUAGUUGACAAUGUCUGUUGUCAAGCUAGGUGUGGGCUAUGGAUGAAGCACAUUAGGAUAUAGUAGGCCUAUUUUGUUUUUUGUUGUUUUUGGGCCACUAUGGACUUUAUGUUGAUGUUGUGAAUUUUUUUUCUUGUGUUUCCUCUUCCUACGAUGUGGAAAGUGGGUGCGUCAGAGAAGAAAGAAAGAGUGGCUAGCAUUGAUUUUACGUCAUACCAUUGAGAACACUAAUCAGAAGCAGAAGCAACAAUAUUUCAUACAUAUACAACACUUGUAAUCCAUAUAAACAACAUUCCUUUAAAAUAUAAUAUAAACCACAUGAUUUAUAUCCUGGGUCAGCUAUCUCCACAAAGGGCAAGAAAACGCUCCAAGUUUGUAGUAUAGCACUAAAAGUGUCGAUUCUCACGAUUUCUUCCCGACAUAUACAAACUAGACAGUAAUCACAUAAAAUAAAGAAAUAUGUGUUAACACGAACUUAUAGCAUGUAUUUCAACAUAUAGAUUGUUGAUUAUUAUGGUAGAUUAUAUAAAAUAGGGGUUCCCGAAGAAAUACAUAAAAACAAGAGCAUUAAAAUUUCCUUUUCAGAUCUGGCUAACUGGUAAAGGGAGUUGGAGUAUCUGAGUUUCCAAAUUUGGGACGUCGCUCUAUAGAAGGAAUAUAAAUACAUUGGAAAAAAUUCUACAAGGAAAGGUUUAAUACAAGUAGCGCUAAGAAAAACUCAAUGAGGCUUUGGUCGCUUGGUCACAAAACUUGAGACAAGAAACACGAAGACACCAAGGUAAUUAGUAUGAGAGUUUUCCAAAUUUGGUGUCUUGAUGUAGAAAAAAUAAAUAUAUGACAAACUUGUUUUUUCGUAAGGCAUGGAUAAAUAAGUGGGGGUGAGCAAUAAAUUUCAUCCUAGAUUUAGAAGGAAUAAAUAUAUCACUAAAUAGGUUUUUUCACAAUGCCAAGUUAAUCAGGUGGGAGCGAGAAACAAUUCUAGCGAGGCUAGGUUGUACUAGCCCAAAACUACAUACAACAGAGGAAAAAUGAAGAAAAUGAUGGUCUACCAAAUAUGGCGCAUGAGCCUUAAGGUGCACCUAGAGGGAAGUAGAAGAAAUAAAUAUAUAAUGGCAUAUGUUUAUCGCAAUGCAAGGUAAAGUGUAGAUGUGCUCUAACUGGGCUUAGAUUGCAGCGACACAUUAUGCAUCUACAAGGCUUGGUUGCACAUGGAAAAAGAUAGAGAGAGAAAUGUAGAUGCAGGACCGGGUGAAAAACAUUCAAUGAGACGUGAUUGCACGGACAUAGAACUAGAUAUAAGACAAGAGUUAAAGAAAAAUAAAGGAACUAAAUUUUCUUCUGCACACUAAGCAUGAAUGGAGUUGUAGUAUCUGAGAUCAAAAUUUAAUUUAUUCCAAGAUGCAGAACAAAAAUGUGAUACUCGUAAUGGUUACAUAGGAGCAAAAGUAGAUAAGAAAAAUAGCAAAAAGAUAGUGGUCUACCAGAGAGGGCACAUGUGCCUCAAUUGUCUUAUAGCAUAGCGACUCAUUAUCCUUCCACCGCUGGUGGCGGGCGGUACUCGCUGCUCUGUGAAGCCAGCCUCACGCAAUGUCCGCCACUUUAGGUGUUGGGAUGCAAAGACUUUCGCCAAGGCAUCCGAAACCCACUACACAACUUGGAAUGGGUGGUCCACUGUUUGUAGCACUAGACCCAGGCACAUGCACCACAAUUGACAUCCACACUACCUUAUUGCCCCGCUCGGGUUACAAGCAAUCGCUACUUGCUCAGCGAGUGAGGGGGUUCAAGACUACCUAUUUAAGGUGGUGUUGUACUCUAUGAGCCGGCGGUGUGGUAUUUACCAACUACAAAUAGUGUCAUGCAUGUGACUUGCUAGUUGACAAUGUCUGUUGUCAAGCUAGGUGUGGGCUAUGGAUGAAGCACAUUAGGAUAUAGUAGGCCUAUUUUGUUUUUUGUUGUUUUUGGGCCACUAUGGACUUUAUGUUGAUGUUGUGAAAUUUUUUUCUUGUGUUUCCUCUUCCUACGAUGUGGAAAGUGGGUGCGUCAGAGAAGAAAGAAAGAGUGGCUAGCAUUGAUUUUACGUCAUACCAUUGAGAACACUAAUCAGAAGCAGAAGCAACAAUAUUUCAUACAUAUACAACACUUGUAAUCCAUAUAAACAACAUUCCUUUAAAAUAUAAUAUAAACCACAUGAUUUAUAUCCUGGGUCGGCUAUCUCCACAAAGGGCAAGAAAACGCUCCAAGUUUGUAGUAUAGCACUAAAAGUGUCGAUUCUCACGAUUUCUUCCCGACAUAUACAAACUAGACAGUAAUCACAUAAAAUAAAGAAAUAUGUGUUAACACGAACUUAUAGCAUGUAUUUCAACAUAUAGAUUUUUGAUUAUUAUGGUAGAUUAUAUAAAAUAGGGGUUCCCGAAGAAAUACAUAAAAACAAGAGCAUUAAAAUUUCCUUUUCAGAUCUGGCUAUCUGGUAAAAGGAGUUGGAGUAACUGAGUUUCCAAAUUUGUGACGUAGCUCUAUAGAAGGAAUAUAAAUACGUUGGAAAAAUUCUAUAAGGAAAGGUUUAAUACAAGUAGGGCUAAGAAAAACUCAAUGAGGCUUUGGUCGCAUGGUCACAAAACUUGAGACAAGAAACACGAAGACACCAAGGUAAUUAGUAUGAGAGUUUUCCAAAUUUGGUGUCUUGAUGUAGAAAAAAUAAAUAUAUGACAAAUUUGUUUUUUCGCAAGGCAUGGAUAAAUAAGUGGGGGUGAGCAAUAAAUUUCAUCCUAGAUUUAGAAGGAAUAAAUAUAUCACUAAAUACAUUUUUUCACAAUGCCAAAUUAAUCAGGUGGGAGCGAGAAACAAUUGUAGCGAGGCUAGGUUGUACUAGCCCAAAACUACAUACAACAGAGGAAAAAUGAAGAAAAUGAUGGUCUACCAAAUAUGGCGCAUGAGCCUUAAGGUGCACCUAGAGGGAAGUAGAAGAAAUAAAUAUAUAAUAGCAUAUGUUUUUCGCAAUGCAUGGUAAAGUGUAGAUGUGCUCUAACUGGGCUUAGAUUGCAGCGACACAUUAUGCAUCUACAAGGCUUGGUUGCACAUGGAAAAAGAUACAAAAAGAAAUGUAGACGCAGGACCGGGAGAAAAACAUUCAAUGAGACGUGAUUGCACGGACAUAGAACUAGAUAUAAGACAAGAGUUAAAGAAAAAUAAAGGAACUAAAUUUUCUUCUGCACACUAAGCAUGAAUGGAGUUGUAGUAUCUGAGAUCAAAAUUUAAUUUAUUCCAAGAUGCAGAACAAAAAUUUGAUACUCGUAAUGGUUACAUAGGAGCAAAAGUAGAUAAGAAAAAUAGCAAAAAGAUAGUGGUCUACCAGAGAGGGCACAUGUGCCUCAAUUGGCCUAUAGCAUAGCGACUCAUUAUCCUUCCACCGCUGGUGGCGGGCGGUACUCGCUGCUCUGUGAAGCCAGCCUCACACAAUGUCCGCCACUUUAGGUGUUGGGAUGCAAAGGCUUUCGCCAAGGCAUCCGAAACCCACUACACAACUUGGAAUGGGUGGUCCACUGUUUGUAGCACUAGACCCAGGCACAUGCACCACAAUUGACAUCCACACUACCUUAUUGCCCCGCUCGGGUUACAAGCAAUCGCUACUUGCUCAGCGAGUGAGGGGGUUCAAGACUACCUAUUUAAGGUGGUGUUGUACUCUAUGAGCCGGCGGUGUGGUAUUUACCAACUACAAAUAGUGUCAUGCAUGUGACUUGCUAGUUGACAAUGUCUGUUGUCAAGCUAGGUGUGGGCUAUGGAUGAAGCACAUUAGGAUAUAGUAGGCCUAUUUUGUUUUUUGUUGUUUUUGGGCCACUAUGGACUUUAUGUUGAUGUUGUGAAAUUUUUUUCUUGUGUUUCCUCUUCCUACGAUGUGGAAAGUGGGUGCGUCAGAGAAGAAAGAAAGAGUGGCUAGCAUUGAUUUUACGUCAUACCAUUGAGAACACUAAUCAGAAGCAGAAGCAACAAUAUUUCAUACAUAUACAACACUUGUAAUCCAUAUAAACAACAUUCCUUUAAAAUAUAAUAUAAACCACAUGAUUUAUAUCCUGGGUCGGCUAUCUCCACAAAGGGCAAGAAAACGCUCCAAGUUUGUAGUAUAGCACUAAAAGUGUCGAUUCUCACGAUUUCUUCCCGACAUAUACAAACUAGACAGUAAUCACAUAAAAUAAAGAAAUAUGUGUUAACACAAACUUAUAGCAUGUAUUUCAACAUAUAGAUUGUUGAUUAUUAUGGUAGAUUAUAUAAAAUAGGGGUUCCCGAAGAAAUACAUAAAAACAAGAGCAUUAAAAUUUCCUUUUCAGAUCUGGCUAUCUGGUAAAAGGAGUUGGAGUAACUGAGUUUCCAAAUUUGUGACGUAGCUCUAUAGAAGGAAUAUAAAUACGUUGGAAAAAUUCUAUAAGGAAAGGUUUAAUACAAGUAGGGCUAAGAAAAACUCAAUGAGGCUUUGGUCGCAUGGUCACAAAACUUGAGACAAGAAACACGAAGACACCAAGGUAAUUAGUAUGAGAGUUUUCCAAAUUUGGUGUCUUGAUGUAGAAAAAAUAAAUAUAUGACAAAUUUGUUUUUUCGCAAGGCAUGGAUAAAUAGGUGGGGGUGAGCAAUAAAUUUCAUCCUAGAUUUAGAAGGAAUAAAUAUAUCACUAAAUAUGUUUUUUCACAAUGCCAAGUUAAUCAGGUGGGAGCGAGAAACAAUUCUAGCGAGGCUAGGUUGUACUAGCCCAAAACUACAUACAACAGAGGAAAAAUGAAGAAAAUGAUGGUCUACCAAAUAUGGCGCAUGAGCCUUAAGGUGCACCUAGAGGGAAGUAGAAGAAAUAAAUAUAUAAUAGCAUAUAUUUUUCGCAAUGCAUGGUAAAGUGUAGAUGUGCUCUAACUGGGCUUAGAUUGCAGCGACACAUUAUGCAUCUACAAGGCUUGGUUGCACAUGGAAAAAGAUACAGAAAGAAAUGUAGACGCAGGACCGGGAGAAAAACAUUCAAUGAGACGUGAUUGCACAGACAUAGAACUAGAUAUAAGACAAGAGUUAAAGAAAAAUAAAGGAACUAAAUUUUCUUCUGCACACUAAGCAUGAAUGGAGUUGUAGUAUCUGAGAUCAAAAUUUAAUUUAUUCCAAGAUGCAGAACAAAAAUGUGAUACUCGUAAUGGUUACAUAGGAACAAAAGUAGUUAAGAAAAAUAGCAAAAAGAUAGUGGUCUACCAGAGAGGGCACAUGUGCCUCAAUUGGCCUAUAGCAUAGCGACUCAUUAUCCUUCCACCGCUGGUGGCGGGCGGUACUCGCUGCUCUGUGAAGCCAGCCUCACGCAAUGUCCGCCACUUUAGGUGUUGGGAUGCAAAGGCUUUCGCCAAGGCAUCCGAAACCCACUACACAACUUGGAAUGGGUGGUCCACAGUUUGUAGCACUAGACCCAGGCACAUGCACCACAAUUGACAUCCACACUACCUUAUUGCCCCCGCUCGGGUUACAAGCAAUCGCUACUUGCUCAGCGAGUGAGGGGGGGUCAAGACUACCUAUUUAAGGUGGUGUUGUACUCUAUGAGCAGGCGGUCUGGUAUUUACCAACUACAAAUAGUGUCAUGCAUGUGACUUGCUAGUUGACAAUGUCUGUUGUCGAGUUAGAUGUGGGCUAUGGAUGAAGCACAUUAGGAUAUAGUAGGCCUAUUUUGUUUUUUGUUGUUUUUGGGCCACUAUGGACUUUCUGUUGAUGUUGUGAAAUUUUUUCUUGUGUUUCCUCUUCCUACGAUGUGGAAAGUGGGUGCGUCAGAGAAGAAAGAAAGAGUGGCUAGCAUUGAUUUUACGUCAUACCAUUGAGAACACUAAUUAGAAGCAGAAGCAACAAUAUUUCAUACAUAUACAACACUUGUAAUCCAUAUAAACAACUUUCCUUUAAAAUAUAAUAUAAACCACAUGAUUUAUAUCCUGGGUCGGCUAUCUCUACAAAGGGCGAGAAAACGCUCCAAGUUUGUAGUAUAGAACUAAAAGUGUCGAUUCUCAUGAUUUUUCCGACAUAUACAAACUAGACAGUAAUCACAUAAAAUAAAGAAAUAUGUGUUAACACGAACUUAUAGCAUGUAUUUCAACAUACAUAUUGUUGAUUAUUAUGGUAGAUUAUAUAAAAUAGGGGUUCCCGAAGAAAUACAUAAAAACAAGAGCAUUAAAAUUUCCUUUUUAGAUCUGGCUAUCUGGUAAAAGGAGUUGGAGUAACUGAGUUUCCAAAUUUGUGACGUAGCUCUAUAGAAGGAAUAUAAAUACGUUGCAAAAAUUCUACAAGGAAAGGUUAAUACAAGUAGGGCUAAGAAAAACUCAAUUAGGCUUUGGUCGCAUGGUCACAAAACUUGAGACAAGAAACACGAAGACACCAAGGUAAUUAGUAUGAGAGUUUUCGAAAUUUGGUGUCUUGAUGUAGAAAAAAUAAAUAUAUGACAAACUUGUUUUUUCUCAAGGCAUGGAUUGAGAGCACCUAGAGGGGGGGGUGAAUAGGUGAUCCUGUGAAACUUGAAAACUUAAGCCACAAAACUUGGUUAAUCGUUAGCACAAUAAUUGCCAAGUGGCUAAAUAGGAAUCCUCAACAAAAUACAAUAACCAACAAAGAUCAAUCACAGAGAUGACACGGUGGUUAUCCCAUGGUUCGGCCAAGACCAACGCUUGCCUACUCCAUGUUGUGGCGUCCCAACGGACGAGGGUUGCAAUCAACCCCUCUCAAGCGGUCCAAAGACCCACUUGAAUACCACGGUGUUUUGCUUUGCUUAUCUUUAUCCCACUUGCGAGGAAUCUCCACAAAUUGGAGUCUCUCGCCCUUACACUUAAAGUUCACAAAGAAGCACGGAGUAAGGGAGGGAAGCAACACACACAAAUCCACAGCAAAAUGCGCACACACACGGCCAAGAAUCGAGCUCAAAAGACUAUCUCAAAGUUCUCACUAGAACGGAGCUCGAAUCACUGAGAAUGACAAACGAAUGCGCAAAGACUGAGUGUGGAUGAUCAAGAAUGCUCUAAGGUUGCUUGGUUUUUCUCCUCCAUGCGCCUAGGGGUCCCUUUUAUAGCCCCAAGGCGGCUAGGAGCCGUUGAGAACAAAUCUGGAAGGCCAUCCUUGCCUUCUGUCGUCGGGCGCACCGGACAGUCCGGUGCACACCGGACACUGUCCGGUGCCCGAUUUCCUUCCUUAAAUGGCGAAGCCGACCGUUGCAGAUGUGGGAGCCGUUGGCGCACCGGACAUGUCCGGUGCACACCGGACAGUCCGGUGCCCCCUUCCGACCGUUGGCUCGGCCACGUGUCGCGCGCGGAUUCCGUGGCCGACCGUUGGCCCGGCCGACCGUUGGCUCACCGGACAGUCCGGUGCACACCGGACAGUCCGGUGAAUUUUAGGCGUACGUCGCCGGUGAAUUCCCGAGAGCGGCCAGUUCGCUCGAGCCAGCCUGGCGCACCGGACACAGUCCGGUGCACCACCGGACAGUCCGGUGCCCCAGACCGAAACAGCCUCUUGGCUGUACACAGCCAACUCUUCUCUUUCCUUCUUCUUUUUGUUUCUGAUACUUAGACAAGUAUAUUAGUACACAAAACCAAUGUACUAAGACUUAGAAACAUACCUUUGCUCUUGAUUUGCACUUUGUCCAUUCAUGGGCAUAGAUUUACAUUUAAUUACUUGUGUUGGCACUCAAUCACCAAAAUACUUAGAAAUGGCCCAAGGGCACAUUUCCCUUUCAAUCUCCCCCUUUUUGGUGAUUUAUGCCAACACAACAUAAAGCAACUAGAACAAGUGCAAUAUUACUUCAAAUAAAAACUCAAAUUCAUUUUGAUUCAAUUUGGCAUAUAUGGAUCAUCCUUUGCCACCACUUGGUUUGUUUUUGCAAAUCAAACUCAAAAUCCUAUCUCUAAGUCAAAUCCACUUGUAGAGACAUAAAGAGAGGUUUUCCAUAGAAGAUUGAUUCAAGAUUCCAAAAACUCCCCCUUUUUCCCAUAAUCAACACUUCACCCCACAAGAGGCCAACUUUUGAUAAAAGAGACAAUGCAAGAGUAUUGACAAACCAAAAGCUCUAUCCUACUGUUUUCAAAGUUUCUCAAGUGGUAGCUGAUCCAUUUAUUGCUUUGGCCUUUAUUUUCUCCCCCUUUGGCGUCAAGCACCAAAACGGGAUCAAUCUUGGCCCUUUAACCCCAUUGCCUCACCAAAAUCUUCAAUUAAGAGCAAAUAGGCAAUAAGAGUUAAAAGAUGAACUUGGAAAAGUUACUCUUUUCAUCGGAGUGCAGUGGAAGUCUUGCAUGGUCCAAGUCCACCUUUUCCCUUUUAAUUCUCCUUCGAGACUAAAACAAGCAAACUCAAGCAUAUGGUUAGUCUCAAAGGGUCAAGUUGUAACACAUCUCCCCCUAAAACUGUGCAUCACUUUGCAACGGACUUGUGAGGUCCAGGGAGUGUUUGUACAACUUGAGCACCAUACUAAACAACAAAAUGCAAAAAGGAUCAUGAUCAAAAGCAUAAAUACAUGUAUGCUACAAUUCAAUCCAAGUUCCGCGAAUCUACGACAUUUAGCUCACUACGCAGCCUGCAAAAGGUCUUCUCAUCUAGAGGCUUGGUAAAGAUAUCGGCUAGCUGGUUCUCGGUGCUAACAUGAAACACUUCGAUAUCUCCCUUUUGCUGGUGAUCUCUCAAAAAGUGAUGCCGGAUGUCAAUGUGCUUUGUGCGGCUGUGUUCAACAGGAUUUUCCGCCAUGCGGAUAGCACUCUCAUUGUCACAUAGGAGUGGGACUUUGCUCAGAUUGUAGCCAAAGUCCCUGAGGGUUUGCCUCAUCCAAAGUAGUUGCGCGCAACACUGUCCUGCGGCAACAUACUCGGCCUCAGCGGUGGAUAGGGCAACGGAGGUUUGUUUCUUAGAGUUCCACGACACCAGGGACCUUCCUAAGAAUUGGCACGUCCCUGAUGUACUCUUCCUAUCGACCUUACAUCCAGCAUAGUCGGAAUCUGAGUUUCCAACCAAGUCAAAGGUAGACCCCUUUGGAUACCAGAGCCCGAAGCAAGGCGUAGCAACCAAAUAUCUAAGAAUUCGCUUCACCGCCACUAAGUGACACUCCUUAGGAUUGGAUUGAAAUCUAGCACACAUGCAUACGCUAAGCAUAAUAUCCGGUCUACUAGCACAUAAAUAAAGUAAAGACCCUAUCAUUGACCGGUAUGCUUUUUGAUCAACGGACUUACCUCCUUUGUUGAGGUCGGUGUGUCCGUCGGUCCCCAUCGGAGUCUUUGCGGGCUUGGCGUCCUUCAUCCCAAACCGCUUCAGCAGGUCUUGCGUGUACUUUGUUUGGGAGAUGAAGGUGCCGUCCUUGAGUUGCUUCACUUGAAACCCAAGGAAGUAGUUCAACUCGCCCAUCAUCGACAUCUCGAAUUUCUGCAUCAUAACCCUGCUAAACUCUUCACAAGACUUUUGGUUAGUAGAACCAAAUAUUAUGUCAUCGACAUAAAUUUGGCACACAAACAAAUCACCAUCACAUGUCUUAGUAAAAAGAGUUGGAUCGGCUUUCCCAACCUUGAAGGCAUUUGCAAUUAAAAAGUCUUUAAGGCAUUCAUACCAUGCUCUUGGGGCUUGCUUAAGUCCAUAGAGCGCCUUAGAGAGCUUACACACGUGGUCGGGGUACCGUUCAUCCUCGAAGCCAGGGGGUUGCUCUACGUACACCUCCUCCUUGAUUGGCCCGUUGAGGAAAGCGCUCUUCACAUCCAUUUGGAACAACCUGAAAGAAUGGUGAGCGACAUAUGCUAGCAAGAUACGAAUUGAUUCUAGCCUAGCCACAGGAGCAAACGUCUCCUCAAAGUCCAAACCUGCGACUUGGGCAUAACCUUUUGCCACAAGUCGAGCCUUGUUCCUCGUCACCACCCCGUGCUCGUCCUGUUUGUUGCGGAAUACCCACUUGGUUCCCACAACGUUUUGCUUGGGACGAGGCACCAGUGUCCAAACUUCAUUUCGCUUGAAGUUGUUGAGUUCCUCCUGCAUGGCUAACACCCAGUCCGGAUCUAGCAAGGCCUCUUCUACCCUGAAAGGCUCAAUAGAAGAGACAAAGGAGUAAUGCUCACAAAAAUUAACUAAUCGAGAUCGAGUAGUUACUCCCUUGCUAAUAUCACCCAGAAUUUGGUCGACGGGAUGAUCCCUUUGAAUCAUCGCUCGAACUUGGGUUGGAGGUGCCGGUUGUGCUUCUUCCUCCAUCACAUGAUCAUCUUGUGCUCCCCAUUGAUCACACUCCUCUUGAUGAACCUGUUCAUCGUUUUGAGUUGGGGGAUGCAUCAUUGUUGAGGAAGAAGGUUGAUCUUGCUCCAAUUGUUCCUGUGGUCGCACAUCACCAAUCGCCAUGGUGCGCAUAGCGGCCGUUGGAACGUCUUCUUCAUCUAAAUCAUCAAGAUCAACAACUUGCUCUCUUGGAGAGCCAUUAGUCUCAUCAAAUACAACGUCGCUAGAGACUUCAACCAAACCCGAUGAUUUGUUGAAGACUCUAUACGCCUUUGUAUUUGACUCAUAACCUAACAAAAACCCUUCUACAGCUUUGGGAGCAAACUUAGAAUUUCUACCCUUCUUUACUAGAAUGUAGCACUUGCUCCCAAAUACACGAAAGUAAGAUACAUUGGGUUUGUUACCGGUUAGUAGCUCAUACGAAGUCUUCUUGAGGAGGCGAUGAAGGUAGACCCUGUUGAUGGCGUGGCAAGCCAUGUUCACGGCUUCCGACUAGAAACACUCGGGGGUCUUGAAUUCUCCAAGCAUCGUCCUCGCCAUAUCGAUUAGUGUCCUGUUCUUCCUCUCUACCACACCAUUUUGCUGUGGUGUGUAGGGAGCGGAGAACUCGUGCUUGAUCCCUUCCUCCUCAAGGAACUCCUCCACUUGAAGAUUCUUGAAAUCGGACCCGUUGUCGCUCCUUAUCUUCUUCACCUUGAGCUCAAACUCAUUUUGAGCUCUCCUAAGGAAGCGCUUGAGGGUCCCUUGGGUUUCAGACUUAUCCUGCAAAAAGAACACCCAAGUGAAGCGGGAAAAGUCAUCGACAAUAACUAGACCAUACUUACUUCCCCCUAUGCUCAGAUAGGCGACGGGUCCGAAGAGGUCCAUAUGCAGCAGCUCCAGGGGUCUUGAAGUGGUCAUCACAUUCUUGCUGUGAUGCGCUCCUCCCACUUGUUUACCUGCUUGACAAGCUGCACAAGGUCUAUCUUUUUCGAAUUGUACGUUAGUCAAACCUAUCACGUGUUCUCCCUUUAGAAGCUUGUGAAGGUUCUUCAUCCCCACAUGUGCUAAGCGGCGAUGCCACAGCCAGCCCAUGCUAGUCUUAGCAAUUAAGCAUGCAUCUAGACCGGCCUCUUCUUUUGCAAAAUCAACUAAGUAAAGCUUGCCGUCUAAUACACCCUUAAAAGCUAGUGAACCAUCACUUCUUCUAAAGACAGACACAUCUACAUUUGUAAAUAGACAGUUAUAUCCCAUAUUGCAUAAUUGACUAACAGAUAACAAAUUAUAUCCAAGAGACUCUACUAAAAACACAUUAGAGAUAGAGUGCUCAUUAGAAAUUGCAAUUUUACCUAACCCUUUUACCUUGCCUUGAUUCCCAUCACCGAAUAUAAUUGAAUCUUGGGAAUCCUUAUUCUUGACGUAGGAGGUGAACAUCUUCUUCUCCCCCGUCAUAUGGUUUGUGCAUCCGCUGUCGAUAAUCCAGCUUGAACCCCCGGAUGCAUAAACCUGCAAGGCAAAUUUAGGCUUGGGACUUAGGUACCCAACUCUUGUUGGGUCCUACAAGGUUAGUCACAAUUUCCUUAGGGAUCCAAAUGCAAGUUUUAUCACCCUUGCAUUUUGCCCCUAACUUCCUAGCAAUCACCUUUCUAUCCUUUCUACAAAUUGCAAAGGAAGCAUUCAAAGCAUGAUAUAUUGUAGAAGGCUCAUUAACUUUCCUAGGCACAUUAACAACAUUUCUCCUAGGCAUAUUAUGAACAACAUUUCUCCUACCAACGUUCCUAUCAUGCUCAUAGAAAGAACUAGAAGCAACCAUGUCAUGAUAAACAUAUGAAUCAAAAACAUUAUAACUUCUAUUUGCAUUUCUAGUAUGUCUCCUAUCAUGAUACAUAAAAGCAUGGUUCUUUUUAGCACUACCAGCCAUAGGGGCCUUCCCUUUCUCCUUGGCGGAAAUGGGAGCCUUAUGGCUUGUUAAGUUCUUGGCUUCCCUCUUGAAGCCAAGUCCAUCCUUAAUUGAGGGAUGUCUACCAAUCGUAUAGGCAUCCCUUGCAAAUUUUAAUUUAUCAAAUUCGCUUUUGCUAGUCUUAAGUUGGGCAUUAAGACUAGCCACUUCAUCAUUCAAUUUAGAAAUUGAAACUAGGUGUUCACUACAAGCAUCAACAUUAAAAUCUUUACACCUAGUGCAAACCAUAACAUGUUCUACACAAGAGUUAGAUUUACUAGCCACUUCUAGUUUAGCAUUUAAAUCAUUAUUAACACCUUUUAAAGUAGCAAUGGUUUCAUGACAAGAAGAUAAUUCACUAGAAAGCACUUCAUUUCUUUUAACUUCUAAAGCAUAAGAUUUUUGUGCCUCUACAAAUUUGUCAUGCUCUUCAUAUAAAAGAUCCUCUUGUUUUUCUAAGAGUCUAUCCUUUUCAUUCAAGGCAUCAAUCAAUUCAUUAAUCUUUUCUACUUUAGUUCUAUCCAAUCCCUUGAACAAACUAGAGUAAUCUAUUUCUUCAUCACUGGACUCAUCAUCACUAGAAGAAUCAUAAGUGACAUUGUUUUGAUUGCAUACCUUCUUCUCCCUUGCCAUAAGGCAUGUGUGACGCUCGUUGGGGAAGAGGGAUGACUUGUUGAAGGCGGUGGCGGCGAGUCCUUCAUUGUCGGAGUCGGAGGAGAAGCAAUCUGAAUCCCACUCCUUUCCGAUAUGUGCCUCGCCCUUGGCCUUCUUGUAAUGCUUCUUCUUCUCCCUUUUGUUCCCCUUUUCCUGGUCACUUUCAUUAUCGGGACAGUUAGCAAUGAAAUGACCAAUCUUACCGCAUUUGAAGCACGAGCGCUUCUCCUUUGUCUUGGUCUUGCUUGGCUGUCCCUUGCGACCUUUAAGCGCCGUCUUGAAGCGCUUAAUGAUGAGGGCCAUCUCCUCAUUAUUUAGCCCGGCCGCCUCAACUUGCGCCACCUUGCUCGGUAGCGCCUCCUUGCUCCUCGUUGCCUUGAGAGCAAUGGGUUGAGGCUCAUGAAUAGGACCGUUCAACGCGUCGUCCACAUAUCUUGCCUCCUUGAUCAUCAUUCGCCCGCUUACGAACUUCCCCAGAACUUCUUCGGGCGACAUCUUGGUGUACCUAGGAUUUUCACGAAUAUUGUUCACCAAAUGAGGAUCAAGAACGGUAAAGGACCUUAGCAUUAGGCGGACGACGUCGUGAUCCGUCCAUCGCGUGCUUCCGUAGCUCCUUAUUUUGUUGAUAAGGGUCUUGAGCCGGUUGUAUGUUUGAGUUGGCUCCUCGCCCCUUAUCAUUGCGAACCGUCCAAGCUCGCCCUCCACCAACUCCAUCUUGGUGAGUAAGGUGACAUCGUUCCCCUCAUGAGAGAUCUUGAGGGUGUCCCAGAUCUGCUUGGCAUUGUCCAAGCCGCUCACCUUAUGGUACUCGUCCCUGCACAAAGAGGCUAGCAACACAGUAGUAGCUUGUGCAUUUUUAUGAAUCUGUUCAUUAAUAAACAUGGGACUAUCCGUACUAUCAAAGUGCAUUCCACUUUCUACAAUCUCCCAUAUGCUAGGAUGGAGAGAGAACAAGUGACUACGCAUUUUGUGACUCCAAAAUCCGUAGUCCUCUCCAUCAAAAUGAGGAGGUUUACUAAGUGGAAUAGAUAAUAACUGAGCAUUAGUACUUUGAGGAAUACGAGAGUAAUCAAAAGAAAAGUACGAAUUGACCGGUUUCUUUCUCUCGUAUUCGUUGUGGUCGUCGUCCUUUUGGGAGGAAGUAGACUCAUCGCUGUCGUAGUAGACGAUCUCCUUGAUGUGUCUUGUCUUCUUCUUCUUCCCAUCUUUGCGUCUGUGGCCCGAGCCCGAGUCGUUGGACUUGUCAUCCCUUGGCUCGUUGACGAAGGACUCCUUCUCCUUGUCGUUGAUCACGAUUCCCUUCCCUUUAGGAUCCAUCUCUUCGGGCGGUUAGUCCCUUUGUGAAGAGAACGGCUCUGAUACCAAUUGAGAGCACCUAGAGGGGGGGUGAAUAGGUGAUCCUGUGAAACUUGAAAACUUAAGCCACAAAACUUGGUUAAUCGUUAGCACAAUAAUUGCCAAGUGGCUAAAUAGGAAUCCUCAACAAAAUACAAUAACCAACAAAGAUCAAUCACAGAGAUGACACGGUGGUUAUCCCGUGGUUCGGCCAAGACCAACGCUUGCCUACUCCACGUUGUGGCGUCCCAACGGACGAGGGUUGCAAUCAACCCCUCUCAAGCGGUCCAAAGACCCACUUGAAUACCACGGUGUUUUGCUUUGCUUAUCUUUAUCCCACUUGCGAGGAAUCUCCACAAAUUGGAGUCUCUCGCCCUUACACUUAAAGUUCACAAAGAAGCACGGAGUAAGGGAGGGAAGCAACACACACAAAUCCACAGCAAAAUGCGCACACACACGGCCAAGAAUCGAGCUCAAAAGACUAUCUCAAAGUUCUCACUAGAACGGAGCUCGAAUCACUGAGAAUGACAAACGAAUGCGCAAAGACUGAGUGUGGAUGAUCAAGAAUGCUCUAAGGUUGCUUGGUUUUUCUCCUCCAUGCGCCUAGGGGUCCCUUUUAUAGCCCCAAGGCGGCUAGGAGCCGUUGAGAACAAAUCUGGAAGGCCAUCCUUGCCUUCUGUCGUCGGGCGCACCGGACAGUCCGGUGCACACCGGACACUGUCCGGUGCCCGAUUUCCUUCCUUAAAUGGCGAAGCCGACCGUUGCAGAUGUGGGAGCCGUUGGCGCACCGGACAUGUCCGGUGCACACCAGACAGUCCGGUGCCCCCUUCCGACCGUUGGCUCGGCCACGUGUCGCGCGCGGAUUCCGCGGCCGACCGUUGGCCCGGCCGACCGUUGGCUCACCGGACAGUCCGGUGCACACCGGACAGUCCGGUGAAUUUUAGGCGUACGUCGCCGGUGAAUUCCCGAGAGCGGCCAGUUCGCUCGAGCCAGCAUGGCGCACCGGACACUGUCCGAUGCACCACCGGACAGUCCGGUGCCCCAGACCGAAACAGCCUCUUGGCUGUACACAGCCAACUCUUCUCUUUCCUUCUUCUUUCUGUUUCUGAUACUUAGACAAGUAUAUUAGUACACAAAACCAAUGUACUAAGACUUAGAAACAUACCUUUGCUCUUGAUUUGCACUUUGUCCAUUCAUGGGCAUAGAUUUACAUUUAAGCACUUGUGUUGGCACUCAAUCACCAAAAUACUUAGAAAUGGCCCAAGGGCACAUUUCCCUUUCAUGGAUAAAUAAGUGGGGGUGAGCAAUAAAUUUCAUCCUAGAUUUAGAAGGAAUAAAUAUAUCACUAAAUACGUUUUUUUUUACAAUGGCAAGUUAAUCAGGUGGGAGCGAGAAACAAUUCUAGCGAGGCUAGGUUGUACUAGCCCAAAAUUACAUACAACAGAGGAAAAAUGAAGAAAAUGAUGGUCUACCAAAUAUGGCGCAUGAGCCUUAAGGUGCACCUAGAGGGAAGUAGAAGAAUAAAUAUAUAAUAGCAUAUGUUUUUCGCAAUGCAAGGUAAAGUGUAGAUGUGCUCUAACUGGGCUUAGAUUGCAGCGACACAUUAUGCAUCUACAAGGCUUGGUUGCACAUGGAAAAAGAUAGAGAGAGAAAUGUAGACGCAGGACCGGGAGAAAACAUUCAAUGAGACGUGAUUGCACGGACAUAGAACUAGAUAUAAGACAAGAGUUAAAGAAAAAAAGGAACUAAAUUUUCUUGUGCACACUAAGCAUGAAUGGAGUUGUAGUAUCUGAGAUCAAAAUUUAAUUUAUUCCAAGAUGCAGAACAAAAACGUGAUAUUCGUAAUGGUUACAUAGGAACAAAAGUAGAUAAGAAAAAUAGCAAAAAGAUAGUGGUCUACCAGAGAGGGCACAUGUGCCUCAAUUGGCCUAUAGCAUAGUGGCUCAUUAUCCUUCCACCGCUGGUGGCGGGCGGUACUCGCUGCUCUGUGAAGCCAGCCUCACGCAAUGUCCGCCACUUUAGGUGUUGGGAUGCAAAGGCUUUCGCCAAGGCAUCCGAAACCCACUACACAACUUGGAAUGGGUGGUCCACAAUUUGUAGCACUAGACCCAUACACAUGCACCACAAUUGAUAUCCACACUACCUUAUUGCCCCCGCUCGGGUUACAAGCAAUCGCUACU
rnacentral:lncRNA from 1 species